UUCUGUUUUGAGGUCUUUCUUUGAACAUUACAAAUAAUUUAGCUCCUUCUAGUGCCUCCUUUUCUUUAUUUAGGGGUCCCUGAGUUCCGGGUCGAGUUGUUAAAAUGAGCAGGUUAUGAGAUGUUGAGUGAGGAGCCCACACGCCUGUCCUCCUGGGGUCCCGCACUGUCAUCUGAGCAGGAGCAGGUGUCUGUCACGCCUGCUACUCUUGGGUUUCAGAAUCCUGGUAGAGGAGCGCGUUACUUUAAGCAGCAGACACGUGAGUCUCCAGAUGCAGCCAAACAUGAAAUCGGCCCGGGUGGAUAACCUUGAGCAGCGACAAAAGAAUCAUCUCCUUCCAAGCUGGGCUAGGAAUUUGUAUUCGUGCAUUAUGCCGAGUUCGAAGGAGAAGCGGGUCAACCAGUCUCCAAACAGGGAUUCUUAAAAACCGGAGCAAGAGAUGUAUCCACUAAAGGGGAAUGCGGAUGUUUUUGCAACAACCAGUUUGUGCCUAUCCCAGUUGCCAAAUAUAGCACAACUUGAUCUCCUUCCAUUCUUAGAAACAAAGAAGCCCUUUGUUUUUGCCUUUCAAGAUGAUAAAGGGAAUUGUAGUCAUUCCUCCAGUGGCUAAUACCUGCCAGCAGAUCCUGAACGAUGCCGUUGAUUUCUAGAUGUAUCCUGAUUUCAAGUUUUCUUCAAAAGUGUGGCUACCCAACAUAAAUAACCUCUACCCACAUUCCAUUUGAAGUGCUGAAAACUGAAAAGUAUAUGGACUUUGGUGCCUGGCAGAACUGGGUCCUCAUUCCAGCAACGAUCCUGAUUCCCAUACAUUUUCUACUCUGUAAAAUAAAGGAAAUAAAAUAAAGGCAAUAACACAGGAAUAAUUGUGCUGUUUCUCUGAGCUGAUAUGCUACACAGAGAUCACGGUGCAGGGCUUUUUUGUUAUUGUUGUUGUUUUUGAGACAGAGUC